UACGUAGGGUGCAGGCGUUAAUCGGAAUUACUGGGCGUAAAGCGUGCGCAGGCGGUUUGCUAAGUCAGGUGUGAAAUCCCCGGGCUUAACCUGGGAACUGCGCUUGUAACUGGCAAGCUAGAGUGUGGCAGAGGGGGGUGGAAUUCCACGUGUGGCAGUGAAAUGCGUAGAGAUGUGGAGGAACACCGAUGGCGAAGGCAGCCCCCUGGGCUAACACUGACGCUCAUGCACGAAAGCGUGGGGAGCAAACAGG
rnacentral:rRNA from 1 species